UGAGUCACAUGCUCCACAGACUGGACCAGCCAGGCAACCUACGUGUCUUCUUUUCCUUGAUGGAGAUGUUUGAUGUAGGAAUGUAGGUGAAAAUGAAACAAGGAAACCUCAUUCAAAAUACACAGUCCUGCAGGAAGAAGGAAGAUUUCCUCUCAGCCUGGCAACAGCAAGCUGUCCUCACCUGUAGCCAAUGAGAAGCCACCACCACUUCAAACUCCCAUUUUCCUCCAAAACCGACCCCUCCCAACUUCCUCCUUUCUUCUACAGAAGGAUGCUCUCUCCUUAGUUCUCCAGACUUGCCUGUGGUUCCCCAUAGUUCGUAUGUCCCAAAUGGCAAUUUCUUUAUUCCUCAAUAAACUCAUUUGCUGCUUGAUAA